rnacentral:misc_RNA from 1 species
UGAAUGGUAUCACCUAUCAUAAUCAUAUUAAUAUAAAACUAAUGUGUGUUGAGUCGCAAGAGUAAGAUCUCCAUAAAGAACACAUAGGCCAGUUUCUGUGUUGGUUGAAUGUCUGAAAUUGUGUGCUGCUGUGUAAAUGAGGUGAUGCAAAAUGUGGGUGUCAUGUGUUGUUUUGCUUAUAUGUGUACAUAAGUGGCCUUGUGUGUGUGUUAGAAAUGAAACAUUCCACAGGCAGCAAGUGUGACACAGUCAUGUACAGUAAGGUGAUGAGUGACAAUUUAUGAGUGGUCUAAUUUAUUUUGUCAUGUAACGAAGGGAGGGGGAAGGGGUGCAAUUGUAGAGGACUGCUAAAUGUCGUUCAUUUCUUUUAGAAUUGGCAAUUUUGUACCCUGCAUUGCUGUAAAAAAAAAAUUGUUUUUUUGUUUGUUAACUAUAUCCCAUACAGUAGUGUAUUUUUGGGGACAAAUUUCAAUAUCUCUAUAGAACAGACGACGGUAGUCAUUUGUGUGUGAACAAACUGUGAACGUGUGAUGUUUUCUUGUGUAAAAAACAAACAAAGGCUUUGUCCUCUGUAUCUGUUGGUCACAUAAUAAAAAUGUUAAGAAU